AAAGACUUCUGCAGAUCAGACCUUCAUCUGAAGCUGAAGAGCUCCAUCUAGUGGACGAUGAGGCGCAUCACAGCCGUCACAUUAACCAGGAGGAUCAAACAUCAGCUGAUCAACAGGAUUUAAAGCUCAGUGUGAGAGUGAGUUCAGAGAAGAAGCAGCUUUGAAGAGAGAGGAAUGAAAGGUGUGUCUGUGGAGCUGCACACCUGUCUGCAGGUUAAUCAGCUGGACUGGACUCACCUGCACUGCAAAAAGCCAGCCUUCAAAAACAAGAACAAAUAUACAAAAAUUGGCUUCCAGCAUUCUCUCAGUGUGAAGGCUCAAAGUCAGGAGGAUAUAACUGCAGUACCACGCAGCGCCACACGGUGGAGCCACCUCUCUGCUCAGUCUGUCUGAUGGAGGAGUUUCUACCUUUACCUCCAUGCUGUGACGUCAGGACUGAGAGGAGGUUAAUGGAAACUUUGGCUGAGUUCCCCCCUCAAAACAAAAGUGCAGUGCAUUGUGGGAAACAGGAAGUGAGGGAGACUUUUUUUUUUUUUCAAAACUUUAUUGUAAAUGUAAAUAACAAACAAUGGGUACAUUCAGAUGGAGCACUCCUUGUUACAAAAAUAUCUGAAACAAACUGUACACAUUGAUAGCAGAAUUUAACCUCCUCUAAACCCCUUGUAUUUAAUCAGAAUGCUUUUAAUAUUCCUUCUGACCCUACUUUUUAUUGUUUUCUUUAUUUCAUGCUCCUGUCAUUCUUUCUUUCAUAUGUAUAUCUGUUAUAUGGCUGGUGUGAAAAUGUGAUAUACACCACAGUAAUAUGUUUUCAGUUUCAAAGGAGGUGUAAUCUCUUGAUAAUGUAAGUUCAGUAUGUGUGGUCUGAGUUUGUCAUUGUUCCUGUUCAUGUCUGAUUGUUUAAAUAAAAAAAUAAAAGAACAUUCAGAUGGAGCAUCAUACAUAAACAAUC